rnacentral:rRNA from 1 species
GACGAACGCUGGCGGCGUGCUUAACACAUGCAAGUCGAACGGUGAAGCGCCUUCCUUUUUGGUGGGUGUGGAUGAGUGGCGAACGGGUGAGUAACACGUGAGUAACCUGCCCCCUUCUUCUGGAUAACCGCAUGAAAGUGUGGCUAAUACGGGAUAUUCUGGGUCUGUCGCAUGAUGGGUCUGGGAAAGAUAUUGUUUCGGUGGGGGAUGGGCUCGCGGCCUAUCAGCUUGUUGGUGGGGUGAUGGCCUACCAAGGCGGUGACGGGUAGCCGGCCUGAGAGGGUGGACGGUCACACGGGGACUGGGACACGGCCCAGACUCCUACGGGAGGCAGCAGUGGGGAAUAUUGCACAAUGGGCGCAAGCCUGAUGCAGCGACGCCGCGUGAGGGAUGGAGGCCUUCGGGUUGUGAACCUCUUUCGCCAGUGAAGCAGGCCUGCCUCGUUUGUGGGUGGGUUGACGGUAGCUGGAUAAGAAGCGCCGGCUAACUACGUG